GUUUUGUCGUUCAAGCAGACGAUAGUCAGUGCAUGCAGGUCGUGCGGUAGAUUCGUCUGUGUCAACUUUUCGUCUGAGAAUCGUCGAUAUUAUUUCCGGUUUAAAAAGCACUUUCCUGUCGAAUCUCAAAUACGAGGCAAUAAACAUACGUGCAUUUAUCUUACCACGUUGUCGAUAUUGCGCGCCACGGACUAAGAAUUUCCGCAAUGAAGUUAGUGAGAAUAUAUGCUAAAAUGAAACGAAGAAAAGAAAUGAUGAUUUUAUGUGAGAUCGAAAGAAUCGGAAGAAUAUAUAAUAUAACUUUUUAAAAAAAAUAAAUAAAAUGAAACUAUAGUGAUCGUGUUUCGACGAAAGUAUUUUUUCAAGAAUGAAAACCAGCAAUGAAAAAUACAACUUGAUACGGAAAAUUUCUCGACCUAUUGGAUCUCGUAGAAGAAAAACUGGAUAGAAGCAACCGAAAACAGAAGUUGUGAAUUCACGAUAUACCAAUCAUCGAAAGUAAGGAGGAAAAUUGAAGUGCUUAUCGAUAAGAUAAGAAUGCUAAAACUUUUUGCGAAUGUCGACUUGUUACAGAGCAAGGAUGGAAAAUUGUUUUAAAUCUAUGAAACUGAUUUAAAUUCAACCGGAAACAGAGUGUCGUUAACUAGUAGGAAAAUUUAACCUAUAAUUAAUCUUUAUUGAAAUACGGUGAUUUUCGUUAACAAGUUUGUGACACGUUUUCAAAGACAAGGAUGGUAUUUAUGAGUCACGAUUUUAGCAUAUUAACAACAUUCAUCGUUCGUGACGAUGUGUCAUAUAUAAUUUCUAUGUGUUAUCGUGAAAAUGUCGAAAAAUAAUUGAAAGAGCAUCAGAAUUCGUGAUUAUUCGAUAUAUAUAUAUAAAAAAAAAAGGGUAUCGGUGUUAAUGGAUACCACUUUGAACAUUCGAAUAAUACGAUA